rnacentral:lncRNA from 1 species
AGAAACAAGUAUUGUAGAAGCCAAAACCCCAAGGCAAGAUGAGGAAACUGAGGCCCCACGUGGUGAAGACAAUUUUUACCCGAAUCCACCCACAACAAGAGACCAUUUGGAUAAUGUACAUUAUGGGAAGAGAACAGAGUCUCAGUGAAGAUCAUGUUUCCCCAGCAACACAGGUGCCAGGAGUAGCUGGCUCUGGUCCCAGCCCAGACUCAGAAAUCCUGAGCCACCAGACCAUUUCUAGAUUAACAGUGACCCACUGGAAACCAGUGUCAGCAUAACAACAGUUACGAGAGCUAAACCUACAAAAUAGAAACACAAGUAAAACUUGUUCAAGUGGUUUGCAGUCAUUGAACAUAGAUCAGCUCCUAUGAAAACAAACUCCAUGGAUUCUCUCUUGAACACUACCCCUACAACCCAGGCUUCUUAAUAUUGCUGGUUUGAAGCCAUCCUGUGUAAGAGGGAAGAUCCAAGUGCUCAUCUGGCCCUAGAAAUAAGGCUCUGGGUUCUGAGCCUGAAUCUCCAGAACACAGGAGCUAUGUGGAGAGUUGAUGGAGGGACAUUCCAGGCAGAGAGAACAGCAAACACAAAGGCCUUGAAGGGUG